CUGAGCCUCAGAAGUUACUAGGUUCUGCUUCCACAAAUUAAAUAAGCGAUUUUAAUCAUCUCUGUAGAAGGUAGUCAGCAAUGUUCCUGUGAAGAAUGGUUACCAGCUGAGAACGGCUCAUGUGCAACAAUGGAGACCUGGCAGGGGAGGAAGGGAGGCCGGGGUCGCUCUCCAAGCCGGCAUGGCUCUGCGCAGUAUUAGAAUCAGAAAGGCGGAGAGGCCACUAAGGAUAUUUCUUUUUCAAAAUGGCAUUACCUUGGAAAGGACUUGCAGUGGAGAAUAGCUUGGCAUGAUGUCAUGUAACAGAACUGUUGUCUCGGAGAGAAAAAGAGCUGACCAGACAAGCUUAUAUCACAAAAGGAUGCUCAAAAUAGUAUUGAUUGGUGUGGUGGUUUAAAUGAAAAUGGACCUCACAGGCUCAUAUGUUUCAAUGCUUGAUUCCUAAUUGGUGGAACUGGAAUUUGAGAAGUAUUAGAAAGAGGUGUGGCCUUUUCCGAAGAAGUGUGUCAUUGAGGGUGGGCUUUGAAGUUUCAAAAG